AUAAAAGUGAUCUAACUCUAUUGAUGAGCACGACAGUACAUACCAUCCCAUCAUGAUGUUGCCAUCUCUCACACUUGAUGAUUACAUCUUGUUAUUUCUAACAUGUACACCAUCGGGCCAUUGCUUUAUUAGAAAUAUAUUUACACAAUAUGAUGAGAGCAACAUCAAGGAGUCGGAUGCUGGUGCACAGAUUCUCCUCAAAUUCCACAUGCAACCCUUGUAGAGAAGAAUGACAUAUUUUUCUUAGGUGAUUUUUGACCGAGCUCCUACAGAAAAAUUCAAACAAAUCAUGAGGAGCAUGGAGCCAAGCAAACUAAUCAGAGUAAAUCAUGAGAGGAGAAGCCUCUCAACCUACUACAGGGAAUCGAGUCAACAUUAAUUCGUGUAAGAAUUAAACCGUAAUGUAGAUCAACAACCCAGUAGUUGAUAAAAUAACCCUGACACAACCCAUUAAUACAAUAUAUGGUCACAGGAAGUAGAUUGAGAUUGUGCAGAUAUCAUGAUCUACGAACCGUAUCUACGAAUAUUGAUUGCAAAGUCACAAAUAGAACCUCCUCACAUCACAAAACAAAUGUUUCAUCAACAGAAACUCUAGCGAAUGCCAAUUGGAUUAUAUAAGUAAGAUAGAGACAUCGAAAAAAAGAAAAGAUAAUUCAAAGAGUAUAUAUUCUAUUUUAUUACUUGACAUCACAGAGAAUGCAAGUCAAAGAUAUUGCGAUACAUCUUACACUUCUAUAAAUUGACUGCAAGGCACAACCCCUAGCAAAAUAUACAGAAUGAAUUGCUCCUGUGAUCCAAGUAUUGCAUAAAUAGUUGUAUACAGACUAUUCAAUAGUGAGCAUAAACAUGGCAUGUACUAACAAAAUCCCUUUGCAAUGGAGCUUAGUCUGCAUGUCUAUCCGUCUUUUUGUAAAUCAGUUGUGGCCAAGAUGUGCUGACAGCUCACAAGCCUCUCCCCGUUUACCAAUAAAACCAAAGCAGCUCAAAGCAAAAAAAAGAACAUAGAUAUAUGAACCUGAUGCAAUUGCUUGUAACUCCAGAGUGUUGGUAGAGUCGAGAAGAGAACACUCAGCCAAUGUUACAGCAGAUCGAUCUGUAGUCUUUGUUAGGGACGGCACCAUCAUUAGAGGUCCCAAUUGUAAAUCAAUCUGCAAGAGAUGGAGAUGCAACUGGAAGCUUACGGAUUUGAUGCAUUAAAACAGCCAUGGCCCAUGGGCAGAGGAGAAGUGACGGCAGCUGGGGAUCUGACGUGUCACAGACAGCAUGGGUAGAGGAGAGGCGGCGGCAGAUCAAGCCUUGGGCGUGGCAGGCGGAAGCACACUCACCCCUAUUGCACCCUUCCUACUUCCCCGUCCUUCUUCUCCUACCUCUCCUCCUCCCUGGAUCCUCCUAUGUCUCUCUUUUCUACAAGAAAAAUCGAAGCCCCGCCAUGACCUUGAGCUCCCCCUACCAACCAUAGAAAUUAGAUAUUUCCUAAUUGUUUGCAUAAAAAACAUACUGGCUGCAAGAGAAUGAAAGACUAACCUAUUGAUGAGCACAACAGUACAUACCAUCCCAUUAUGAUGUUGCCAUCUCUCACACUUGAUGAUUACAUCUUUUUAUUUCUAACAUGUACACCACCGGGCGAUUGCUUUAUUAGAAAUAUAUUUACACAAUAUGAUCAGAGCAACAUCAAGGAGUCGGAUGCUGGUGCACAGAUUCUCCUCAAAUUCCACAAGCUGAAAUUGAAGAGAAAACUGAAAGAAAGCUAUUAGUAACACCAAUUUAACCAGACACACCACACCACUAAUGACAAAAUAAAAAUUUAGAAGUUCCUAAAGAGGCCUUAUAUAUAAGAAGUGCAAGAUAGUGAUGAAACUACCAAAGCCACCAGAUCUUAGUACAGAUUAGUUAAGUAGACACUACUAUUUAGUAAGGAUGAACUAUAUUAUGGAUUUGAUUGGAAUAAGAAAAUAUCCUAUAAUAGCAUAUUAUACAAAGGCACAUAAAACAAUAAAGAGAAGUAAAAGUGGUAGUGAUGAACUUAUAAUAAUAAUAAUAAAUAGAUAGCACAUGACUCUUUUUAUACGACUUAUCAGCAGAAUCAGUGAGCCACAAUGGAGUUUUCUUGGGCUCAGGCUUUCUGCACACUGCCAUAUAGACCAAGUCAAACAUGGGUGGGCGGCCAAGAAUGUUGGGUUAUAGUUUUACAGAUAAAGAGAGGAGAAAUCACUUUGGCCUAUGAGCACAUCAUAAGAGAAGGCAACAUCACACACACAUAAGUACUUGUAACUGAAUUUAAGGAGGGCACAAUAUGUUGACAUAGGUGUGCCUACCAAAAAGAAAUGUCUAAAUGAAGAAAAAUCAAGUGUUUAGUAAUAUAAUACUACAAUGAUGAUGCAGACUAAAGUCUAAAUCAUCAAUGGUAAAUCCAUGGCACACAAAAAUUCUUCUCCAUAAUUGAUUUGCUCUCUUCAUCCAAAUGCCCAAACUCAUCACAACAUAGCAAAAUAGCCUGAAUGGAAUAAACCAUAUCUGAACCAUCAUAUGCAAUACACGAACCAUGUACUGAACUUAAUUGAUGUAUUACUACUGAACAUAGCAGAUUAGUCUCUAUGUGCAUGUAUUACUAAUUUACAGCUGAGCAGCCACUCUAAUGUAAUGAACUUAAGAACUGUUUGUUCCUCUUAAGCAACCCUGCAGUUUUCAUGAAAACUUUGGUUGUAGUGGUCCUAAAAUCACAGAUACAUGUACCUCUACAUCCACUUGGAGCUUCUUUGCAGCUUCCUCUCUAUGUUGCUAGACCAAUCUGCAGAUAAAAAAGGAUAAGGUAAAUAAUUGUUGUUUUAUUUGCCAAUAAUCAAACAACUAUGAUAUAGUAAGAAAAAAGUUAGUGGAGGUAUGGGAAGGACAAGUAGUUCUACUACACACAGAUGAUUAGGGGUCAGAGGGAAUUCAAGAUAAACCAAGACAAACUUCAAAAUUUAGUCCUAUAGUUGAACAUCAAAUUCAAAGCAAACGGGGAAGAAUCAAUGGGUCAGGGGUAAGGAUGCAACUGUGUGGGGGGGGGACAGCCCACUAAGCCGCUGCGCCGUCCCAUGAAGAAAACCCGCAAAACGGCGCCGGACCAACCACAUCAUGUCAAGCGGUCUCAAAUAGUCCAACCGCUUUGUCCAGCGGACGUCGCACAGUCUCGUGUAUCCUGCGAAAGGGAGAAAACUCUCCUGAGAAUUCCUGUCCUUCUCGACGCGAUAGAGGUGCGCGACUGUAUUGUAUAACAGGCUCAUCC
rnacentral:lncRNA from 1 species